rnacentral:rRNA from 1 species
AGAGUUUGAUCAUGGCUCAGGAUAAACGCUGGCGGCGUGCCUAACACAUGCAAGUCGAACGAUCCCGCAAGGGAGAGUGGCGGAAGGGUGAGUAACACGUGGGAAUCUACCUCCUCGCAGGGAACAACCUCUCGAAAGAGAGGCUAAUACCCAAAAGGGUCAGAAAUGAUCAGGGUCGAAGGGCGUGAGGAGAGGAGCCCGCGGCCCAUCAGCUAGUUGGUGAGGUAAUGGCUUACCAAGGCUACGACGGGUAGGGGAUCUGAGAGGAUGUCCCCCACACUGGAACUGAAACACGGUCCAGACGCCUACGGGUGGCAGCAGUGAGGAAUAUUGGACAAUGGGCGAAAGCCCGAUCCAGCAACGCCGCGUGGAGGAUGAAGGCCUUCGGGUCGUAAACUUCUUUAGAGGGAGACGAGAAAGGACGGUAUCCCUAGAAUAAGCGACGGCAAACUACGUG